GUCUUUUUGGUUAAUAAUUUAAAGUCUAAUCUGCCCACUGAUAAUAUAUUAAAGGGCUGCAGUAUUUUGACUGUACAAAGGUAGCAUAAUCAAUAGUCUCUUAAUUGGUGACUUGUAUGAAGGAUUUAAUGAGAUAUAUACUGUCUCUUUUUAAUUUAUAAAAUUUAAUUUUUUAGUUAAAAAGCUAAAAUAAAUUUAAAAGACGAGAAGACCCUAUAGAGUUUAAUAUUUAAUUAAAUUGGAAUUAUUUAUAAAAUUUAAAGUUUUAAUUUAUAAUAAAUAUUUUGUUGGGGUGAUAAAAAAAUUAAAAGAACUUUUUUUAUAGAUUUACAUUGAUAAGUGAAUAAAUGAUCCGUAAUUUACGAUUAAAAGAAAAAAUUACCUUAGGGAUAACAGCGUAAUUUUUUUUUUUAGUUCAAAUAAGAAAAAAAGUUUGCGACCUCGAUGUUGGAUUAAGAUAAAAUUUAAAUGCAAAAGUUUAAAAUUUUUGAUCUGUUCGAUCAUUAAAAUCUUACA
rnacentral:rRNA from 1 species